rnacentral:rRNA from 1 species
CCCUUAGAUGUCCGGGGCUGCACGCGCGCUACACUGAAGGAAUCAGCGUGCUAAAACCAUUGUCGAAAGGCAUUGGUGAACCCAUUAAAAUCCUACGUGAUUGGGAUCGGGAAUUGCAAUUAUUUCCCUUGAACGAGGAAUUCCCAGUAAGUGUGGGUCAUAAGCUCGCGUUGAUUACGUCCCUGCCCUUUGUACACACCGCCCGUCGCUGCCCGGGACUGAGCCGUUUCGAGAAAAGCGGGGACUGCUGCUGUCGGGGCUUUCGGGCCUUGGCUUCGGUGGAAACCGCUUUAAUCGCAGUGGCUUGAACCGGGCAAAAGUCGUAACA